AGCAUGGAUUCACCAAGGGGAAAUCAUGCUUGACUAACCUGAUAGCCUUCUAUGAUGGAAUGACUGGUUGGGUAGAUGAGGGGACAACAAUGGAUGGUGUCUACCUUGACUUCAGCAAGGCUUUUGACGCUCUCUCCCAUAACAUC